rnacentral:tRNA from 1 species
GGAGGGGUGGCCGAGUGGUUAAAGGCGUCAGACUGUAAAUCUGAUCUCGUUAGGGUACGUUGGUUCGAAUCCAACCCCCUCCACCA